CUUUAGAGCUCUCGCGCCAGCUAGUGGUAGCGACGAGGAACUGCACGGUUGCUCUCAGAUUCUGAACUCUGCUUCGCCACGUGACCUUUUCCUGUAGCCUCCCAUCGUUUUCUUCAUCAACGUAACGAGUCGUUGCGGUUGGUGAGCGAGGAGUAGACGACGGGAUUAUGGAUGAAUUUAGAUAAACAAGUAGACCAGGGGCAGAGAGAGGAAAGGCCAGACAAACGCAACCGCUUUCCCCAAAGGAUUUGAGAUCAUUUAUUUAUUUGUUUAAAUAUUCCUGGCAUUCGACGGAGCAAGUCUGUUUUUCAUUUGUAGACACGCUUGACUAUAUACCAGAGCCAUGCAAUAACUGUGAGUCUCACCCCAGACAGCACCGAGUACAUGCUGGAAAUGUAUGUUUGCUUCUAGGCAGCAAAUAUUUCUGGUGUGCACUGGAAUUCUGAGAGGAACGAUUCUCAGAUACUUAGCAGAGCAGAAACCUCUUAGGGAUGGCAUUUGUAUCUGGCACCCUAUAUGGAAAAAACGUUAAAGUUAUACACAAAGGGCACUUUUUAGGCUAGACGAAACACAUUUGGGGUGAAGCUCGGUCCACUCUCAAAGAGACUCACGCUAUGAUGGUUUUUGGGAAAACUGAAAAUGAGGCAUUUAUUUUACAAAGAAAGAGACUUUUUUGGCAGGCUACUUCUUCCAUUUAAUUAAGCAAUAUCUGAUCGUGCUGGGGCUAUAGAGGUUGCUAAUAAAUAAAUCCCAAAGCAGAGACGUCACACUCACUAAAUGGUAGGGGCUUUUUAUUAACGCUAUUGCUGAUUGCUAAAAAUCAAUAUUACUAAUAACACACAUGAAAUUUAUUAUGAAAACAAGCUGAGAGUGGUUAAGGAGUUUUCUUUAGAAAUUUCAUUUGUAGAUCUGUGCCAGUAAUGGAGAACAAGGACAUUCAUUCCAGGUUGGGGCCACUUGUAAUGUUUUUGGAAGUGAAUUUGGAGUUUGAUGUUUGGACUAGCCUGGCUGGCAGUGAGCCCCCGGGAUCCACGUCUCUGCCUUCCGGCAGUGGGGUUCCAGGCGCACCCCUCUGUGCCCGGCUUCUCACACGGAUACCGGGGAUCAGAGUGAACAAGCGCUCUACCCACUGAGCCAUCCUCCCACCUCCUUGCUGCAUACUUCCUUUUGCUCAGCCUCCAAGGGUCUGGUCUGUCUUUAAGCUCACCGACUGCUAAACUAACCCAACUGUA